rnacentral:rRNA from 1 species
CCUACGGGGGGCAGCAGUGAGGAAUAUUGGUCAAUGGGCGGGAGCCUGAACCAGCCAAGCCGCGUGAGGGAAGAAGGUACAGCGUAUCGUAAACCUCUUUUGUCAGGGCACAAAGGCGGGGACUAGUCCCCGGCUGAGGGUACCUGAAGAAAACGCAUCGGCUCGCUCCGUGCCCGCCGCCGCGGUAAUACGGAGGAUGCGAGCGUUCUCCGGAUUUAUGGGGUUUAAAGGGUGCGCAGGCGGCCUGUUAAGUCAGCGGUAAGAGCCCGGGGCUCAACCCCGGCGAGCCGUUGAAACGGGCGGGCUUGAGUGGGAGAGAAGUACGCGGAAUGUGCGGUGUAGCGGUGAAAUGCUUAGAGAUCGGGCAGAACCCCGAUUGCGAAGGCAGCGGACCGGCUCCACACUGACGCGGAGGCACGAAAGCGUGGGUAUCGAACAGGAUUAGAUACCCCAGUAGUC